GUUGAACAAAUACUACCUCCGUAAACUAAUAUAAGAGCGUUUAGAAUACUAAAGUAGUAAUCUAAACACUCUUAUAUUAGUUUACAGAGGGAGUAGUAAUGAGGUGCUGAGUAGUCGUUUGUAUUAUUAUGAGAAUCCCCAUUAUCUACAGGACUUCGCUUGGGCAACCGGCCUCUCUAUCAACUUCACCAAAACAACGUUAGUGCCUAUGCAUGUCGCACCUAUACUGUCGGCAUCCAUUGCAUCUACCAUGCAAUGCACAACCUCCUCCUUCCCACAGAUCUAUUUAGGCCUACCCUUAGCACCCACUCGCCUGCCUUCAAACGCCUUCCUACCCAUCAUCGAACGAUGUCAAAAAUUCUUAACAGGUUGGCGGGCAAAGCUCCUCUCCAAAGGAGACAGGCUGAUAUUACUAUCUGCAGUCCUAGAUUCAAUCUUGGUCUAUUUUAUGUCUGUCUUCCUCAUUCCCAAAAGCGUUCUUAAAACCCUCGAUUCCAUUAGACAUGCUUUCUUCUGAGCUGCAGAAGAAACUUGUACUGGUGCUCAAUGUUUAGUUGCCUGGAAAAAUGUCUGUAAACCAAAAAUGUGUGGUGGUCUAGGCCUAAAAAACCUGCAUAAACAGAACAAAUGCUUGCUCAUGAAAUUCGCUGUCAAAGCUCUUAAUCCAGAACAAUCUCCAUGGCUUGACUGGAUCACUUUGCAACACCCAAAUGCCCUCCUCACCCCACAAAACAGUCACUCAUUUAUCUGCCAAACAAUAAACCAGCAACUACCAGCCCUCCAUGCCAUCUCCUUUGUACUCACAAACUCUGGCACCAACACAUAUUUCUGGUUAGACAAAUGGAUCCACCAAACACCCCUCGCCACUUUAUUCCCAUGCCUAUACUCUCAUACCACUACACCCCUCGCUCGUGUGGCUACUGUUUUUAACUAUGGUUUAGAUUCAAUCCUGCGGAACCGCCUAACCUCUAAUGCCACUGCCGAGUUGUGCUCUGUGUUGUCUCUCCUGCAGGAUUUCCAGCGGUCGCCUGGACCAGACGAACGCUACCUCUCCGGUGGCUUGUGGUUCUCUACCAAGGCCGCUUACUCACUGUCCAUGGGUGACUCCACCGAGCAUGAUAUGCACUCCAUCCCCAUCUGGUCCUCAUGCAUCCCAACAAGAGUGAAGAUUUUUGCAUGGUUAUUGUUCAGGGAUCGAUUAAACACCAAGUGCAACCUACUCCGCAAGCACAUGGUCUCUGAUGCGCUAUGUCCCCGCUGUGGUUUUGAUGGUGAAAACCGAUUACACUUGUUCUUGGCCUGCCCGCUCGCUCAGAGGAUCUGGCAUAGGGUAGGCCUAUCACCCUCAGCAAACAUCAACGAACUCUGGGACUGCCGCCUACCUUUCCAACUGAAUGCGCCGGCCUGGCACUCAAUCCUCCUCAUCAUUCUAUGGAGGAUUUGGGACUCAAGAAAUGCCAUGACCUUCAAGCAGCAAGACCAUCAUAGCAUCCUCACUCUUAGAAGAAUCAUUGAUGAUCUAGCGCUCUGGACUCACAGGAUGAAGAAACCAGCGCAAAAGCAGGCCGCCUCCUUAUGGCGUUCCUACCUCUUAUCACGACUACACGUGCUUAUGUAAUUUCACCUUCUAAUCGGUCGAACGAUGGGUUACAAACUUGAGAAAUAUAUUCAGGUGGGGAGCUCCCCCCC
rnacentral:rRNA from 1 species